GAUGAACGCUGGCGGCGUGCCUAAUACAUGCAAGUCGAGCGAACGGACGAGAAGCUUGCUUUUCUGAUGUUAGCGGCGGACGGGUGAGUAACACGUGGAUAACCUACCUAUAAGACUGGGAUAACUUCGGGAAACCGGAGCUAAUAUCGGAUAAUAUUUUGAACCGCAUGGUUCAAAAGAGAAAGACGGUCUUGCUGUCACUUAUAGAUGGAUCCGCGCUGCAUUAGCUAGUUGGUAAGGUAACGGCUUACCAAGGCAACGAUGCAUAGCCGACCUGAGAGGGUGAUCGGCCACACUGGAACUGAGACACGGUCCAGACUCCUACGGGAGGCAGCAGUAGGGAAUCUUCCGCAAUGGGCGAAAGCCUGACGGAGCAACGCCGCGUGAGUGAUGAAGGUCUUCGGAUCGUAAAACUCUGUUAUUAGGGAAGAACAUAUGUGUAAGUAACUGUGCACAUCUUGACGGUACCUAAUCAGAAAGCCACGGCUAACUACGUG
rnacentral:rRNA from 1 species